rnacentral:rRNA from 1 species
AACGAACGCUGGCGGCAUGCCUAACACAUGCAAGUCGAACGAUGCCUUCGGGCAUAGUGGCGCACGGGUGCGUAACGCGUGGGAAUCUGCCUUUCGGUUCGGAAUAACUCAGGGAAACUUGAGCUAAUACCGGAUAACGUCGCAAGACCAAAGAUUUAUUACGGGAAGAUGAGCGCGCGUAGGAUUAGCUAGUUGGUGAGGUAAAGGCUCACCAAGGCGACGAUCCGUAGCUGGACUGAGAGGAUGAUCAGACACACUGGGACUGAGACACGGCCCAGACUCCUACGGGAGGCAGCAGUGGGGAAUAUUGGACCAUGGGCGAAAGCCUGAUCCAGCUAUGCCGCGUGAGUGAUGAAGUCCUUAAGGUUGUAAAGCUCUUUUACCCGGGAAGAUAAUGACGGUACCGGGAGAAUAAGCCCCGGCUAACUACGUG